rnacentral:rRNA from 1 species
GAGUUUGAUCGUGGCUCAGAGUGAACGCUGGCGGCAGGCCUAACACAUGCAAGUCGAACGGCAGCACAGUCCCGCAAGGGAUGGGUGGCGAGUGGCGGACGGGUGAGGAAUACAUCGGAAUCUACCUUGUCGUGGGGGAUAACGUAGGGAAACUUACGCUAAUACCGCAUACGACCUACGGGUGAAAGCGGCGGACCGCAAGGCGUCGCGCGAUUGGAUGAGCCGAUGUCCGAUUAGCUAGUUGGCGGGGUAAAGGCCCACCAAGGCGACGAUCGGUAGCUGGUCUGAGAGGAUGAUCAGCCACACUGGAACUGAGACACGGUCCAGACUCCUACGGGAGGCAGCAGUGGGGAAUAUUGGACAAUGGGCGCAAGCCUGAUCCAGCCAUGCCGCGUGGAUGAUGAAGGCCUUAGGGUUGUAAAGUCCUUUCGGCGGGGAAGAUAAUGACGGUACCCGCAGAAGAAGCCCCGGCUAACUUCGUGCCAGCAGCCGCCGCGGUAAU